rnacentral:tRNA from 1 species
CGGGCCGUAGCACAGGUGGUAGCGCGCGUCGUUCGGGACGACGAGGUCGCGGGUUCGAGUCCCGCCGGCCCGACCA